rnacentral:rRNA from 1 species
GCCGGCAGCUAGCUCUCUGCAACUCUCACAUGGUUGCCCUCUGAAGCUAAGCAGGGCUGCGCCAGGUCAGUACCUAGAUAGGAGACCACAUGGGAAAGCUAGGUUGCUGCCGGAA